UACGUAGGUGGCAAGCGUUAUCCGGAAUUAUUGGGCAUAAAGAGCGCGCAGGUGGUUAAUUAAGUCUGAUGUGAAAGCCCACGGCUUAACCGUGGAGGGUCAUUGGAAACUGGUUGACUUGAGUGCAGAAGAGGGAAGUGGAAUUCCAUGUGUAGCGGUGAAAUGCGUAGAGAUAUGGAGGAACACCAGUGGCGAAGGCGGCUUCCUGGUCUGCAACUGACACUGAGGCGCGAAAGCGUGGGGAGCAAACAGG
rnacentral:rRNA from 1 species